rnacentral:rRNA from 1 species
UUUAUAAAAUUUAUAAUUUAUAUAUAUAUAUUGAAAUUGAAAAUUUAUUAUUAAAAAGAAUCAUUUAAUUAAUUGUCACAGUAAUGAAAUUUGUUUAUUUUUAUUUAUUAUAUAACAAAUUACCUUUUGUAUAAGUGUUUUUAUAAAUUUGAUUAUAUAAUUUUUUCUCGAAUUAUUAAGAUUUAAUUUAUUAAAUGUUAAUUGUGUUAAAUCAUAAUAAUAAUUUUAAGUUAGUUCCUAUAAGGAAUUCAUUUAUUAUAUAUCUGGUUAAUAAAUAAUUAAAUUUAUUUUAAGUAAGUUUUUGUACUAUUAAAAAUUUAAUUUUUUUUUAAAAUUACUUAUUAAUUUAUAAAGGGAUUAUCUUUUAUAAUUUUAUAUUUAGUAAAUUUAUAUAUUAUUUAAAAAAAUUUAAUUGUAGGCUUAAAAACAGCUUUUUUUUUGAUAAAAUAAGUUAUAUUUUAUAAUUAUUUAGUUUUUAUUUAUUUAUAUUUCUAUAAAAUUAUUUUAUUAAAUUUAUUAAGUUAAUUUAAUAAUUAAUUAAAAAAUUAGUAUAUGGUUUAUUAUUAAAAAAUAUUUGAUUUAUUUAAAAUUUUAAUUAGAACUCGGCAAUAGAAAUUUCAAAUGUUUAACAAAAACAUUUCUUUUAGAUUUUUUUAAAAGUAAAGUCUGCCCACUGUUUUUAAUAAAGGGCCGCGGUAUUUUGACCGUGCAAAGGUAGCAUAAUCAUUAGUCUCUUAAUUGGGGAAUGGAAUGAAUGGCUUAAUGAUUUUUUUCUUUUAUUUAUAAUAUUUUUAAAAUUUUGAUUUUAAGUGAAAAUACUUAAAUUUUUUAGUAAGACGAUAAGACCCUAUAGAAUUUUAUUUCUUUAUUUUAUUUAAAUAAACUUAGAAGUUUAAAUGGGGCAUUUAUUGAAUAUAUGUAAUUUCUAUAAAAUAUAUUAAAAAAUAUCUUUAUUUUUAGAUUAUUAAAAAAUUACCUUAGGGAUAACAGCGUAAUAAUUUUUGAGAGUUCAUAUCGACAAAAUAGUUUGCGACCUCGAUGUUGAAUUAAAAUGCCUCUAUAAAGCAGCUUUUAUAAAAGGUAGUCUGUUCGACUAUAAAAUUUUUACAUGAUUUGAGUUCAGACCGGUGUAAGCCAGGUUAGUUUCUAUCUUUUAAUUAUAUAUUAUUAAUUUAGUACGAAAGGAUUAAUUAAUUUUAUUUUUUUUAA